rnacentral:rRNA from 1 species
AUUGAACGCUGGCGGCAGGCCUAACACAUGCAAGUCGAGCGGAGCGGCGGACGGGUGAGUGAUGCCUAGGAAUCUGCCUUGUCGUGGGGGAUAACGUCCGGAAACGGGCCCUAAACCCGCAUCCUAUCAGCUUCGCCUAGGUGGGGUUAGCUAGUUGGUGGGGUAAAGGCCUACCAAGGCGCCGAUCCGUAACUGGUCUGAGAGGUGGAUCAGUCACACGGGAACUGAGACACGGUCCAGCCUCCUACGGGAGGCAGCAGUGGGGAAUAUUGGACAAUGGGCGAAAGCCGGAUCCAGCCAUGCGGCGUGGGUGAAGAAGGUCUUCGGAUUGUAAAGCACGUUAAGUUGGGAGGCGUUACCAACAGAAUAAGCACCGGCUAACUUCGUGCCAGCAGCCGCGGUAAUAC